CAUCCUCCUGGUUAUAGUACAUCAAAAGUUCGUUAGCAUUAACAUCUUCUCCACCAAUAGCAGCUGCAAGCUCAUGGGCUUCUCCAUUUACUCCUCCACCAUCUCCAACUUCAAAGUCAUCAAUUCCAUUUUCUACAAUGCCAGAGAUUUAUCAUACAAGCCCAAGGAAUUCUCAAAUUGCUUCCCAGUCUCAGAUGUCAUGACAAACUUAUCCUCGCUUGGACAGCCAAAGUAGUCUGGGCCAUUGAAGCAGGGACUCAUGAAGUGCCCUUCCUCUUUCUCAUCAUACCAAUAAGAGUCAUUUUGCAUAUCGAAAUCUGGGUAAUCACGUGCUGUGCCAAACUGAGAGAGCCUGUCAGAUGAAGUUUCUGAAUUAGCCUGCGAUGUGGAAUGAAGUCCAUAUGGAUUUGAGAAUUCUGCAGAAAUGAAAAGGCAUCAGAAUGUUCAAUUGCCCCACCAGCUAAAAUUAAUACAACAGCAGCCCACCUACAAGCACAGAGCACAAAAGAAUAACCAUGGCAAGAUACCAGAAACAAUGCAGAAAUAAUUGGAGUAUUUUAAAGAGUUUUGUAAUUUUGCAAAUACAACAAAAGGUAUUAGUAAUAGUGCAGUUGCUUACUAAGUAUCUCGCUUCCAUUCUGCAUGCAGGCUUCUAUAAAAUGCAUACACCAAAGGAUGGUUAUGCUAUGCAGUGCAUUCUCAAACUUGAUUCCCAGUGAUUAAAUGAAGACAGAAUCGGUGUCUUGAGUAACAUGCUGAUUUUCAUAUUCUGCAGAUGAAGUGAUGAUGGACUAUUGAUGGGGUUGAAAACAGAGAAUAUAUGAUUAGAAAUGAUGAAGAUGAGCCAGUGCGUUAAUAAGAACAGUAGAAUCUGCAAUUUUGCUGAAAUUGAGUGUCAUUUUAGACAUAUAAUAUUUCCAAAUUUGACAGAAAAACAUUUAAGGAAAGUGAAAUAUAAGAAAAGGGCGGUUUUGGUGCUCGGAAUAUAUGCUA